rnacentral:rRNA from 1 species
UGGCGGCAGGCCUACACAUGCUUGAUCGAGCGAGGACUUCGGUCCUAGCGGCGGACGGGUGAGUAACGCGUGACGUGCCCUUUGCUUCGGAAUAGUCCUGGGAAACUGGGGGUAAUACCGAAUGUGCCCUGAGGGGGAAAGAUUUAUCGGCAAAGGAUCGGCCCGCGUUGGAUUAGGUAGUUGGUGGGGUAAUGGCCUACCAAGCCGACGAUCCAUAGCUGGUUUGAGAGGAUGAUCAGCCACACUGGGACUGAGACACGGCCCAGACUCCUACGGGAGGCAGCAGUGAGGAAUAUUCCGCAAUGGGCGAAAGCCUGACGGAGCAACGCCGCGUGAGGGAUGAAGGCCUACGGGUUGUAAACCUCUUUUUCCAAGGAGGAAGAUCUGACGUUACUUGGAGAAUAAGCAUCGGCUAACCCUGUGCCAGCAGCCGCGGUAAUACAGGGGAUGCAAGUGUUAUCCGGAUUCAUUGGGCGUAAAGCGUCUACAG